AUGAACGCUGGCGGCGUGCCUCAUACAUGCAAGUCGAGCGAACGGACGAGAAGCUUGCUUCUCUGAUGUUAGCGGCGGACGGGUGAGUAACACGUGGAUAACCUACCUAUAAGACUGGGAUAACUUCGGGAAACCGGAGCUAAUACCGGAUAAUAUUUUGAACCGCAUGGUUCAAAGGUGAAAGACGGUCUUGCUGUCACUUAUAGAUGGAUCCGCGCUGCAUUAGCUAGUUGGUAAGGUAACGGCUUACCAAGGCAACGAUGCAUAGCCGACCUGAGAGGGUGAUCGGCCACACUGGAACUGAGACACGGUCCAGACUCCUACGGGAGGCAGCAGUAGGGAAUCUUCCGCAAUGGGCGAAAGCCUGACGGAGCAACGCCGCGUGAGUGAUGAAGGUCUUCGGAUCGUAAAACUCUGUUAUUAGGGAAGAACAUAUGUGUAAGUAACUGUGCACAUCUUGACGGUACCUAAUCAGAAAGCCACGGCUAACUACGUG
rnacentral:rRNA from 1 species